GAUGAACGCUGGCGGCGUGCCUAAUACAUGCAAGUCGAGCGAACGGACGAGAAGCUUGCUUCUCUGAUGUUAGCGGCGGACGGGUGAGUAACACGUGGAUAACCUACCUAUAAGACUGGGAUAACUUCGGGAAACCGUAGCUAAUACCGGAUAAUAUUUUGAACCGCAUGGUUCAAAAGUGAAAGACGGUCUUGCUGUCACUUAUAGAUGGAUCCGCGCUGCAUUAGCUAGUUGGUAAGGUAACGGCUUACCAAGGCAACGAUGCAUAGCCGACCUGAGAGGGUGAUCGGCCACACUGGAACUGAGACACGGUCCAGACUCCUACGGGAGGCAGCAGUAGGGAAUCUUCCGCAAUGGGCGAAAGCCUGACGGAGCAACGCCGCGUGAGUGAUGAAGGUCUUCGGAUCGUAAAACUCUGUUAUUAGGGAAGAACAUAUGUGUAAGUAACUGUGCACAUCUUGACGGUACCUAAUCAUAAAGCCACGGCUAACUACGUG
rnacentral:rRNA from 1 species